GAUGAACGCUGACAGAAUGCUUAACACAUGCAAGUCUACUUGAACUUCGGUUUGGGUGGCGGACGGGUGAGUAACGCGUAAAGAACUUGCCUCACAGAUAGGGACAACAUUUGGAAACGAAUGCUAAUACCUGAUAUUAUGAUUUUAGGGCAUCCUAGAAUUAUGAAAGCUAUAUGCACUGUGAGAGAGCUUUGCGUCCCAUUAGCUAGUUGGAGAGGUAACGGCUCACCAAGGCGAUGAUGGGUAGCCGGCCUGAGAGGGUGAUCGGCCGCAAGGGGACUGAGACACGGCCCUUACUCCUACGGGAGGCAGCAGUGGGGAAUAUUGGACAAUGGACCAAGAGUCUGAUCCAGCAAUUCUGUGUGCACGAUGAAGUUUUUCGGAAUGUAAAGUGCUUUCAGUUGGGAAGAAAAAAAUGACGGUACCAACAGAAGAAGUGACGGCUAAAUACGUG
rnacentral:rRNA from 1 species